rnacentral:rRNA from 1 species
UACGAAGGGGCUAGCGUUGCUCGGAAUCACUGGGCGUAAAGCGCACGUAGGCGGAUCCUUAAGUCGGGGGUGAAAUCCUGGAGCUCAACUCCAGAACUGCCUUCGAUACUGAGGAUCUCGAGUCCGGGAGAGGUGAGUGGAACUGCGAGUGUAGAGGUGAAAUUCGUAGAUAUUGCAAGAACACCAGUGGCGAAGGCGGCUCACUGGCCCGGUACUGACGCUGAGGUGCGAAAGCGUGGGGAGCAAACAGG